UACAGAGGGGGCAAGCGUUGUUCGGAAUUACUGGGCGUAAAGGGCGCGUAGGCGGCCUUCUAAGUCGAACGUGAAAUCCCCGGGCUUAACCCGGGAACUGCGUCCGAUACUGGAUGGCUUGAAUUCGGGAGAGGGAUGCAGAAUUCCAGGUGUAGCGGUGAAAUGCGUAGAUAUCUGGAGGAAUACCGGUGGCGAAGGCGGCAUCCUGGACCGACAUUGACGCUGAUGAGCGAAAGCUAGGGGAGCAAACGGG
rnacentral:rRNA from 1 species